AAUAAAUGAUGGAAUAAAUAUAAAAAUCAUGAGUUGAAAGAAAAUGCGCAUUAGGUGCCGGUUGCCGGCGUAACUUCUCGAACAUUCAGUACUGCGACGCCGCACGGCUAUAUAAGAGGGCCGGCCGGCUUGGCUCGGCGCAUUCGUAAAUAAACUUUCGUUCUGUUCGGACGCAACGAACACCCGAAGACCCACCAACCAGUGAACAUACCUCUACUUCUUUUACGUGGUCCACGAGGCUGCUGACAACACGAGAAAAUGUAGACGAGACGGAUUUGGUGCGGAGCGCGACAGUUUACCUGAACCCUACGGGGUCGGUGCUUGAACAAUCCGUACGCAACCAUAAUCUGGUCAGAUUAGAGUUCGAAAUUUCCUCACACAUUUUGAACUAUUUGAGAAGAGCACCUCGAGAUACAGGCAUUAGUUUAGAGCAGACUCGUAGUUUGAGGUCGAGAAUAAAUCGUCAGCACCAUCUUGUCUAAACGAAUACUCUACUACAAGGGCACACGGAACGUUGGAAUUGAGAACAAAAAAUAAGUAUACAGAAUCAAAUAGAACGGGGAAAAGAUACAAAAACAAUAGAAAAACAAAACAAAAGAAGGCUAGGAAGAGAAUGGAUCAUUUUCCUAAAGUGCUCUAGCUUUGCGAAUCGAGAAGCGUCGGGCGAGUCCUUCGCUCGGAUUCGCCACCGAGCUCUCCUCUUCGUCUCGUUACCUUUUUGGGUGCCGUGAUAGUUAAAACACCAUCCGAAGAAAGGCUCGAGGUAAUAUUGAUCACAUCGUGAGAUGGAGGCAAGACGUAUCUCCGUACGAAGUGUCUGCUGAUAAAUCCGUGCUCGUCUUGUCUCUCCUCGUGUUUGGCUUCGACAAUAACGUUGUUACCGACCGUCUUCACCGUGAUCUCCUCCGGUGAGAAUUGUUGAACGUCCAAUAUUACCUGCGCAGAUCAGAGCGAAGCAGUUAAGACAGGUCCAACGGGGAAAACUAUCAUUUUUUAGGAGCACGAUGUUGCGUGUAGUAA
rnacentral:misc_RNA from 1 species